rnacentral:tRNA from 1 species
GGGCUCGUAGGUCAAUGGUAGACUGCCUCCAUGGCAUGGAGGAGGUUGCGGGUUCGACUCCCGCCGAGUCCA